rnacentral:rRNA from 1 species
GACGAACGCUGGCGGCGUGCUUAACACAUGCAAGUCGAACGAUGAAGCUGGAGCUUGCUCCGGUGGAUUAGUGGCGAACGGGUGAGUAACACGUGAGCAAUCUGCCCUUGACUCUGGGAUAACUGCGGGAAACUGUAGCUAAUACCGGAUAUGAGGCUUGGAGGCAUCUCCAGGUCUGGAAAGAAUUUCGGUCAAGGAUGAGCUCGCGGCCUAUCAGCUAGUUGGUGAGGUAAUGGCUCACCAAGGCGACGACGGGUAGCCGGCCUGAGAGGGUGACCGGCCACACUGGGACUGAGACACGGCCCAGACUCCUACGGGAGGCAGCAGUGGGGAAUAUUGCACAAUGGGCGAAAGCCUGAUGCAGCAACGCCGCGUGAGGGAUGAAGGCCUUCGGGUUGUAAACCUCUUUUAGCAGGGAAGAAGCGAAAGUGACGGUACCUGCAGAAAAAGCACCGGCUAACUACGUGCCAGCCGCCGCCGCUG